GUGGGAGUGGCAGACGGGUGAGUGACGCGUGGGAACGUACCAUCCGGUUCGGGAUAACCCAGGAAUACUUGGGCUAAUACCGGAUACGUGAUAUGGCAGAAAGGUUUACUACCGGAGGAUCGACCCGCGUCUGAUUAGAUAGUUGGUGGGGUUAUGGCAUACGAAGGCUGCGAUCAGUACAUGGUCUGAGAGGAUGAUCACCCACUCUGGGAGUGAGACACGGCCCAGACUCUUACGGGAGGCAGCAGUGGGGAAUAGUGGACAAUGGGCGCAAGCAUGAUCCAGCCAUGCUGCGUGAGUGAUGAAGUCAUUAGGGUUGUAAAGCUCUUUUACCCGGGACGAUAAUGACGGUACCGGGAGAAUAAGCCCCGGCUAACUUCGUGCCAGCAGCCGCGGUAAU
rnacentral:rRNA from 1 species